rnacentral:rRNA from 1 species
GCGCAGCAGUCGCGAAUCCUUCGCAAUGCGGGAAACCGCGACGAGGGGACUCCCAGUGCCUACGCUCAGCGUAGGCUGUUCCCGAGCCUAGAAAGCUCGGGGAGUAAGGGCUGGGUAAGACGGGUGCCAGCCGCCGCGGUAAUACCCGCAGCCCGAGUGGUGGCCACUAUUAUUGGGCCUAAAGCGUCCGUAGCCGGCCCGGUAAAUGCCUGGGUAAAUCGUGAGGCCUAACCUCACGAAUUCCGGGUAGACUGCCGGGCUAGGGACCGGAGGAGGGAGAGGGUACUCCAGGGGUAGGGGUGAAAUCCUGUAAUCCCUGGAGGACCACCGGUGGCGAAGGCGCUCUCCUAGGACGGGUCCGACGGUGAGGGACGAAAGCCAGGGGAGCGAACCGGAUUAGAUACCCCGGUAGU